rnacentral:rRNA from 1 species
GAUGAACGCUGGCGGCGUGCUUAACACAUGCAAGUCGAACGAGAAGUGAAGACGGAAACCUUCGGGCGGAAGGCUUUAUUUCGAGGGGCGGACGGGGGAGUAACGCGUGGGUAACCUGCCACAUACAGGGGGCUAACAGUUGGAAACGACAGUUAAUACCGCAUAAGGCCGCAGCACCGCAUGGUUCGGGGGUGAAGACUCCGGUGGUAUGAUAUGGCCCCGCGUGCGAUUAGGCAGUUGGCGGGGUAACGGCCCACCAAAGCGACGAUCGAUAGCCGAUGUGAGGAGAUGACCGGCCACGUUGGGACUGCGGCACGGCCCACACUCCUACGGGAGGCAGCAGUGGGGAAUAUUGCACAAUGGGGGAAACCCUGAUGCCGCGACGCCGCGUGAGUGAAGAAGUAUUUCGGUAUGUAAAGCUCUAUCAGCAGGGAAGAAAAUGACGGUACCUGAGUAAGAAGCCCCGGCUAACUACGUG